rnacentral:rRNA from 1 species
AGAGCGAACGCUGGCGGCGUGCUUAACACAUGCAAGUCGAACGCGCAGCAUUCUGUAGCAAUACAGGGUGUGGGCGCGUGGCGAACGGGUGCGUAACACGUGGAUAACCUUCCUUGAGGUGGGGAAUAACCCAGUGAAAAUUGGGCUAAUACCGCAUAACAUCGCGAUGGCACAUGCUGAUGCGAUCAAAGGCGUAAGUCGUCGGAGGUGGAGCCCGCGCCCGAUUAGCUAGUUGGUGAGGUAACGGCUCACCAAGGCAAUGAUCGGU